AGUGAACGCUGGCGGUAGGCCUAACACAUGCAAGUCGAACGGCAGCACAGUAAGAGCUUGCUCUUACGGGUGGCGAGUGGCGGACGGGUGAGGAAUACAUCGGAAUCUACUUUUUCGUGGGGGAUAACGUAGGGAAACUUACGCUCAUACCGCAUAUGACCUACGGGUGAAAGCAGUGGAUCUUCGGACCUUGUGCGAUUGAAUGAGCCGAUGUUGGAUUAGAUAGUUGGCGGGGUAAAGGCCCACCAAGGCGGCGAUCCGUAGCUGGUCUGGGUGGAUGAUCGGCCACAUUGGAACUGGGACACGGUCCAGACGCCUGCGGGAGGGAGCAGUGGGGAAUAUUAGACAAUAGGGGCAAGCCUGAUCCAGCCAUACCGCGUGGGUGGAGAAGGCGUUCGGGUUGUGAAGACCUUUUGUUGGGAAAGAAAAGCAGCAGCUUAAUACCCCGCUUUUCUGACGGUACCCAAAGAAGAAGCACCGGCUAACUUCGUG
rnacentral:rRNA from 1 species